rnacentral:rRNA from 1 species
UACGUAGGGUGCAAGCGUUAAUCGGAAUUACUGGGCGUAAAGCGUGCGCAGGCGGUUAUGUAAGACAGAUGUGAAAUCCCCCGGGCUCAACCUGGGAACUGCAUUUGUGACUGCAUAGCUAGAGUACGGUAGAGGGGGAUGGAAUUCCGCGUGUAGCAGUGAAAUGCGUAGAUAUGCGGAGGAACACCGAUGGCGAAGGCAAUCCCCCUGGACCUGUACUGACGCUCAUGCACGAAAGCGUGGGGAGCAAACAGG